UUGUCCUUUUCCUUGCACAUAGGCUCUCUCUGACUGUUUCAAAUGCUUGCGUAGUUGAUAAAAGAGGUUAACGAUGUUUAAUGUGUUGUGGGAGCCAGUCUGCAGGAAACUUUACAAAUUAAAAAUGUUCUGACUGUGGUCUUUUCGGGACAAUACUACUCUUCCAUUUCGGGGAGCAUGCCGGCCUAGGAAGAUGGUUGAUUUUUGUGACUGGGCAGUGAACGUGUGGCAGGGAUAGAGGACUGUUGUAAAUCAGAUGAAUGCCUGCUGGACAUGCACAGCUUAAGCAUUUAGACUGUUCUGAUGACUUCUGCAGAGAACAUCCUGCCCUGUAUUGGUCAUCACUACAAGAGUGGCUGCAUCCUGUCUGUCUGCUUCAAAAUCUUGAUUGAGUCUUAAUGUGUUGUUCUUGUUUGUGUGGAGGACGCGAGGCACCAGCUUCAGAUGGCCUGACACAAUGCUAAAUCAUUUCAACUGCUUCAGUUUGCUGGGAACAGCCAUAAAACUGCUCUGUCAAAUAAAA